rnacentral:rRNA from 2 species
CAGGCCUAACACAUGCAAGUCGAGCGGACAGAUGGGAGCUUGCUCCCUGAUGUUAGCGGCGGACGGGUGAGUAACACGUGGGUAACCUGCCUGUAAGACUGGGAUAACUCCGGGAAACCGGGGCUAAUACCGGAUGGUUGUUUGAACCGCAUGGUUCAAACAUAAAAGGUGGCUUCGGCUACCACUUACAGAUGGACCCGCGGCGCAUUAGCUAGUUGGUGAGGUAACGGCUCACCAAGGCAACGAUGCGUAGCCGACCUGAGAGGGUGAUCGGCCACACUGGGACUGAGACACGGCCCAGACUCCUACGGGAGGCAGCAGUAGGGAAUCUUCCGCAAUGGACGAAAGUCUGACGGAGCAACGCCGCGUGAGUGAUGAAGGUUUUCGGAUCGUAAAGCUCUGUUGUUAGGGAAGAACA